GAUGAACGCUGGCGGCGUGCCUAAUACAUGCAAGUCGAGCGGUAAGGCCACUUCGGUGGUACACGAGCGGCGGACGGCUGAGUAACACGUAGGAACGUACCCCAAACUGAGGGAUAAGCACCAGAAAUGGUGUCUAAUACCGCAUGUGCUCUUCGGAGUAAAGCUACGGCGGUUUGGGAACGGCCUGCGCAUGAUUAGCUUGUUGGUGAGGUAAUGGCUCACCAAGGCGACGAUCAUUAGCUGGUCUGAGAGGAUGAUCAGCCAGACUGGGACUGAGAACGGCCCAGACUCCUACGGGAGGCAGCAGUAGGGAAUUUUCCACAAUGGACGAAAGUCUGAUGGAGCAACGCCGCGUGCAGGAUGAAGGCUUUCGGGUCGUAAACUGCUUUUAUCUGUGAAGAUUAUGACGGUAGCAGAUGAAUAAGGAUCGGCUAACUCCGUG
rnacentral:rRNA from 1 species